rnacentral:rRNA from 1 species
ACGUACACUCCUACCGGAGGCAGCAGUGGGGAAUAUUGGACAAUGGGCGCAAGCCUGAUCCAGCCAUGCCGCGUGAGUGAUGAAGGCCCUAGGGUUGUAAAGCUCUUUCACCGGUGAAGAUAAUGACGGUAACCGGAGAAGAAGCCCCGGCUAACUUCGUGCCAGCAGCCGCGGUAAUACGAAGGGGGCUAGCGUUGUUCGGAUUUACUGGGCGUAAAGCGCACGUAGGCGGACUAUUAAGUCAGGGGUGAAAUCCCGGGGCUCAACCCCGGAACUGCCUUUGAUACUGGUAGUCUUGAGUUCGAGAGAGGUGAGUGGAAUUCCGAGUGUAGAGGUGAAAUUCGUAGAUAUUCGGAGGAACACCAGUGGCGAAGGCGGCUCACUGGCUCGAUACUGACGCUGAGGUGCGAAAGCGUGGGGAGCAAACAGGAUUAGAAACCCGGGUAGUCCCA